CCUCAUUUUCUUCAAUUCUGCGGACGAACGACAUCGAGAGAGAGAAGAUAAUGGUUUUGAUUCAAAAUCUUCCAAGGAUCAUAUCUCGAGCUAGAGUUAACGAAAUUCAUCCAUUCCAAAACCAAAGUUGAAGUGUGCAACCUGAGGAACAGAUCUACGGUUCGCCUAAGAAUCUUGUCGAGGAUCCUACAUCAGAUGAGGCUUGGUAACUCGGUUGUUGGGUAGGCCAUCUAUACAGCUUUGAGAGGAACACAGUUAAUUGAAGAGCCCUCAUGGGACAAGGACACUACCCGUGGCUAGAGGUACUAGUAUGAGGAUAUAGAGUUCUGGGUGGCCAGACGCUACUAUUUAUUAUAGAUGUUAUUUUUGGAGAAUAUGUACUGUUGUAUAGUGUUCUAUUCAUUUUGAGAUCAUGAUGUUUGAUCCAUUAUACAAUAUAUGCUCCGUAUAUGUUUUGUACAUGUGUUCCUAUUUGAUGCAUGUACAUUUGUGUAUUCAGAUAUAUGCAUGUGCUGAAAUAUGUAUGUUGUUAGACAUAGUGGCAUGGAGCGAGUUAUACAUGCACCCAUGGAUGGGUAUAUAGUCCUUUAUAGGUAUCUGGUAUUUCUGAAAUUAUAUAUGGUAUAAACUGUUUAUCAGGAACCUUUGAGAGUGGGAUUG